rnacentral:rRNA from 1 species
AGUCGAGGGAUCUCCCGCAAGGGAGGGAACCGGCGUAAGGGGCAGUAAGGCGUGGGUACCUACCCCGGGGUUCGGGAUAGCUGUCCGAGAGGGCAGGUAAUACCGGAUGACCUGGUGACAGCAAAGAUUUAUCGCCCUGGGAGGGGCCCACGUGAUAUUAGCUAGUUGGCGGGGUAACGGCCCACCAAGGCGAAGAUGUCUAGCGGGUGUGAGAGCACGACCCGCGCCACUGGCACUGAGACACUGGCCAGACACCUACGGGUGGCUGCAGUCGAGGAUCUUCGGCAAUGAGCGCAAGCUUGACCGAGCGACGCCGCGUGGGCGAUGAAGGCCUUCGGGUUGUAAAGCCCUGUCGAGGGGGAGAAAAGCCGAAAGGUUUGAUCUAUCCCUGGAGGAAGCACGGGCUAAGUUCGUGCCAGCAGCCGCGGUAAGACGAACCGUGCGAACGUUGUUCGGAAUCACUGGGCUUAAAGGGCGCGUAGGCGGGUUCUCAAGUCCGGGGUGAAAUCCUCCCGCCCAACGGGAGAAGAGCCUCGGAUACUGGGGACCUCGAGGAGGGUAGGGGCAAGCGGAACUAUGGGUGGAGCGGUGAAAUGCAUUGAUAUCCAUAGGAACUCCGGUGGCGAAGGCGGCUUGCUGGACCCUUUCUGACGCUGAGGCGCGAAAGCCAGGGGAGCAAACGGGAUUAGAUACCCCGGUAGUCCUGGCCCUAAACGUUGGGAACUAGGUAGUAGACCAGACAUGGGUUUACUGCCGGAGCAAAAGUGCUAAGUUCCCCGCCUGGGGAGUAU